rnacentral:lncRNA from 1 species
UUGUCUUCAUAAAUCAAAAGAAAAGACAAAAAAGAUGACAAUAAGAAAAGGACCAAAAAGCUGACCUAGGGAUACAAUCAAACGCUAUAACCAAAAAGAGAGGAGCCAUCUUUUGACAAAAAAAUCGUACCCCCACCCCCUGACUUCAUCUUCUCCAAACGACCCCCCUUUUCCUCUUCUCCGGCGGAGCCCACACCAGCGACCAACAGCAGCCCCUAUUUCGCCAAAAAAUAAGCAGAAAUAGACCGGAAAAAGUCCCCGACGAGGUCCCGGUUCAAGUUUCCGGCGUACGGUCAGAGGCUAAGGAGGAACUUCGUAGGCAAGAAGUGGAGGUAGUCCUCUCAUAUUCUUCUUAUUCUCGUCUUAGCAAACUCUAUAGUAUGCUUUAUCUAUCAUCCAAAAUAUGUACUUUGUCAUCUCUCAUUUAUUGUGUUUUAAAUUCUAUUUAAAUCUGAUUACCUUAGAUGACGACAACGUGCAUUAGUCUGUUAAUUUAUCUAUACAAAUUUAAGAGGGGUGGUAUUCAAUAGAACUAUGUUCAUUUUAUGUUCUACCUAAGCAGAAAUUCGAAAAGUUUCUUAUUUCGCGUAAGAACAUACAAACCAUUUAUCCUAGAUAUAUGUGUUCAAGUUAUAUCUCAGUUCAAAUGGGUGUAUUUCAGAAAUUGAGGCAAUGCGAUUAAAUUGAUUUUUUUAAUUACCAAAUUCGGGUGUGCAUUUCAUGUGACCCUACCAUAAUUUUGAAUAAUGAUAGUAGAAAUUAUCAUGUUAUAAAUCCGGGUGUACAUUUUAUGUGACCCGGCUCUCAUUUCCAACAAGGUUAAAUAGAACGUGUCGUGAACCACGGGUGCAUUUCAUGUAGCGUGGCUUGCGAUGUGUUUUGAAUAACCUUGAAUUAAUCCUUUAAAUAAUUAAAGCGAUUUUCAAAAGUUAAAAAUGCACAUAGGUUUAAAACUAUUUUAAAAAUCAAAUAAAUAGGCCAAUAAUAAUAGUUGAGCGACCGUGCUAGAACCACUGAAUCCGGAAAUGCCUAACACCUUCUCCCGGGUUAACAUAAUUCCUUACCCGGAUUUCUGUGUUUGCGGACUAUAAAACAGAGUCAAUCUUUUCUCAAUUCGGGAUUUGAACUGGUGACUUGGGACACCAUAAACCAUCCCAAGUGGCGACUCUGAUUUUAAAUAAAAUAAUCCCGUUUCGAUUGUUACUUAAAUUGGAAAGAACUCCCUUAUGCCGCCCUCGGGCGGUAAAAACAGGUGUGACACUUUUGAUACGAAUGAACAUGUGGGGGAAUAAGGAUUUCAUUGAUGUAAAUUUUGUCAGAUUCCGAGACGUGGGCUCGGGGGUCGGGUUUGGUAAAUUUUGGGAUUUGUUUUGUAAUUUGGUUACUUUCGAGUGGGCUUUGUUCCCUUAGCAUAUUUUGAUGAUUAUAUACUGAUUUUGGUUAGAUUUUGGGUCAUCACCUGUUUUUAAAAUGAAUUCUAUGUUCUGAGGCCUUAACCUCUUUUUGUCUCACAUCGAUUUGCGUGCACAGUCGGGACACGUAGCCGGAAAGCUAAUAUGUGAAAAUCUGUGGAAAAUGGUAAAUUUUGAUUAUAAAAUGAAUUAGGUUGACUUCGGUCAAUAUUUUGGGUAAAUGGACCGAACCCAUGAUUUGACGGUCCUGGAGGGUCCGUAGGAAAAUAUGGGACUUGGGCGUAUGCCCGAAAUCGAAUUCCGAGGUCUCAAGCCCGAGAAAUAAAUUUUUAAAGAAAAUUGUUUUUCUGAAUAUAUUUAUGAGAUUUAGAAAUGAAUUGUUAUUAGAACUUGAUGGUAUCGGGCCCGUAUUUUGGUUCCGGCAGGUCUUAUAUUUGAUUUAAGAUAAGUCUGUGAAAUUUGGUAAGAAAUGGACUUGAAACGACGUGAAUCGGAUCAUUUUUUAGAAAACUGGAAAUUUGAAGUUCUUAAGAAAAUUUCAUGAUUUUGAUGCUAAAUUCCUAGUUGUUGAUGUUAUCUUAGUGAUUUGAAUGCACGAGCAAGUCCGUAUGAUAUUUUUAGAUUGGUGUGCAUGUUUGGUUGAGAGCCCCGAGGGCUCGGGUGAGUUUUGGAUAGGCCACAAAGUGAAAUUUUAACUUAGGAAAUUGCUGGUAUGCUUCAGGCCUACAGGCUUCGCAUCUCGCAAAUGCGAGCAAUGUAUCGCAAAUGCGAUAGGUGGCCUGGGUUGCCUUCUUCGCAAAUGCGAACUGUCUAUUGCAAAUGCGACGUCUGCCUGGAAUCCCCCUUAGUCACAAAUGCGAGACCUCAGUCGCACAUGCGACUUCACAAAUGCGACACUGCUUUCGCAAAUGCGAACAUAGCAGAGGUCGGGGUUCGCAAUUCCCAUAUCUGCAACCUGUAAUUUUUAUACUUAGCCGAAAAUCAACCAUUUUUCACACUCUUUCAAAACCAAAACACUCUCGGGCGAUUUUUCAAAGACAACUCUUCUUCCAAAUCGAUUGUAAGUCAAUUUCAACUCUUUUUCUUCAAUCAUUAACAUCUUUUAACAUGAUUUCAACUCAAAAUCAAUGAUUUUCAUGGGGGAAAUAGAGUGUAUUGGGUAGAACCUAGGUUUUUCAAAAAUUGAGGAUUUGGACCUCGAUUUGAGGUCCGAUUUCAAACAAAUUAUAUAUUUGGGUUUGUGGGAAAAUGGGUAAUCGAGUUUUUGUUCGAACCUCGGGUUUUGACCAUGUGGGCCUGGGGGCAAUUUUUGACGUUUUGGGUAAAAAUUUCGAAAACUCAUUUUUAUGCAUUGGGGUUGAUUCAUUUAGCGUUUAUUGAUGUAAUUAAGUAACUUGUGGCUAUAUACGAGCAAAUUAGUGGUGGAAUCAAAGGGUAAAGCAAUAAUUGAGACGUGAAUUGUGACGUGAAUUGUGUUCGUGGCAUCGAUGUAAGUGUUUGGUUUAACCUGAGCUUGAGGGAUUAGGAGUUGUGUCCUAUUUGCUACUUGUUUCUUAUUGAGUACGAUGUAUAGGCAUGGUGACGAGUAUCUAUACAUUGGUGUCGAGCAUGAUCGUGAGCCUUAAAUUGUGAUUUAUUGUGUUCUUGAAUAAUACUACGGAUGCUUAAAUUGAUUAUUCUCUGUAUUGAGCAAGGAUUAUGAUUGUUCUCGUGGAAUUACUUAUGAUUGAGUAUUGGUGUUAGCUGAAGUAGUUAGAUGUUGGAACAAGUUUGGUUAUAGCUAUUUCUCCCUUGCCGGGAUGUAUUUAUUGAUACUGUCGAUUCCCUUGCCGGAAUAGUGUAGUUCUUUAUUGAUACCUUGCCGGGACUCUUGUUAUGAUUGUUGUUGAUUAUAUAUGUGGAUCGGGUUGCACGCCGCAAUAAUAUUAUAUGUGGAUCGGGUUACACGCCGCAACAAUAUUAUAUGUGGAUGGUUGCACGUCGCAACAAUGAUAUAUGUGGAUCGGGUUACACGUCGCAACAAUGAUAUAUGUGGAUCGGGUUGCACGCCGUAAUAGUGUUGUUAUAUUUUGGGAUCGGGUUGCGUGCCGCAACAAUUAUUGAUACAAAGUGUUUAUAGAUUGGAUACAAGUUUCUUAUUGUUUUGCCGUGAAUUCUAAGCUAUCAUUAUGCCGUUACUCUUGAUUUACUGUUGAUAUUGAUACACCCCUCGCAGCAUGUACCCUCAUCCCAUCUUUACUUGUUUAUUCCUGCUUCAUUUUAUGCAGUAUAUUAUAUAACUGCACAGGUUCAUUUGGUAGUCUGGUCAUUGCCUCGUCACUACUUCGCCGAGGUUAGGCUAGGCACUUACCAACACAUGGGGUCGGUUGUGCUGAUACUACACUCUGCACUAUGUGCAGAUCCCGGAGCAGCUCUUGGACCAUAGCAUUUGGGUGGCUACCUUCAGUCCACGCAGAGAUCCAAGGUAGACCUGUAGGCGUCCGCAGGCCCUGGCGUCUCCUCUAUCCUUUAUUUCCUGUUUCAUUUCUUUGAUUUAGAAACAGCGUAUCUUUAUUUUCAGACUUUAUAUUUAGCACUCUUAGAUCAUCUGUGGUACUGUGACACCAGUUCUGGGUGAUUAAGGCUUAAAUAGUUGUAUUAGAUUCAUAUUUCACAUAUUUUACUACAUUUCUUC